AUUGCUUCUGUGCAUUUUAGCGAAGAUCAAGUAUAGUAUCCGUUCUUAUCAGUUUAAUAUCUGAUACGUCCUCUAACUGAGGGCAAUAUAUUCAAUGGAUUUUUGGAUCGGGGAGAUGGAAGAGGAGCUUGCUCUGUUCUACUCCACACAUGGACCUGGUAUUGCAGUAUUUCCAGGAAUAAUGCACCCCCU